CCCACCUAAACCUAAACCUAGGUCACCUGCCGUCGCCACCUGACUUGCCGGCCGAUUUGCUCACGUUGUUGCUGCCUCUCCCACCACAAGCAGCGCCUCCCAAAGCCUCCUUCUAGCAUGUGGUGCAACCCCAAGGUAACGCCUUAACAGAAUGCAGGACAGGAGAAGAGGGAGGGAGAUCCACCGUGACCGAAUCAGGCCGGGCGGCGACCAUGGCACACCUAGAUCGGCCAGCUCCGUCGACGUCGAGCUCCUCUGCUCCCGGUGCCAGAUCUGCCUUGGGCUCCAUCUCCACAGCCACGCACCUACAGCCGCCAUGGAAGGUGCUGUGUGUGUGUUUGCUGCGCAGGUGCUCUGUGUGCUUGCUUCUUCCCUUCCUGGGACGCUGCUGGUCCGACGCCAUGGACAAUUCCACUGAACAAACCAAGGUAAAGAAAGACAAACACGGAAAAGGCUACCUGUUGGCUGUGGGUGCUGAGCUGAUGGACAGUGUGGAAGAAGGAGGUGUGAUCUUGGCAGUGGCCCAUGAAGCAUUUUUUCUUUGCAUGUUGAUCACUAUUGCACUGUUCAGGUUCUUAAUCAAGGUAGUAGCAAAUUCUCAGUGUUUUCCUCUGUACAAAUUUCGAAUUGUUUGAUGUUCUUUACUUUUAUUUCUCCUAAUCAAUCAUCUAAGUUCCCAAUGAAAGUAGCUUUGUGUGUGUGAUCAUGCUUCAUUUACUUCUAUCGCUAAGUUUCAGUUAUCUCAAUAUGACCACUAUGAAAGCCAGGCGGUGUUUUCUUGAGAAAAUAGUGUAAUAAACAGAGAUUCUUUGUGUUGCAAAUAAUUUUGUAUACUGAAAGAACAACUCAGCCCAGUUUGCAUGCAGUUGGCACAUAUGUUCGCCAGAAACAGAUGUGGGUGAGUGUGCGUUUUCUUACUGCUUUAAUACUUGCAGUGACUGAUCAUCUGUGAUUGUGGGUCACAAGAAAGGGAAUGCUAACCGUGGUGGUGGUGAUUGAAGAGCCCUAAAUCAAUUCAGCUCUGUAGAUUGGAGUAGCAACAUGGGACAUUGCACCAUCGAGCUCCCUCUGUAUGAUUCAUCAUCUUUUCUUGAUCUGUCAACUGGAGGAAUCUACAGAUUCUUGAAUACAUUCCUGACCUCGCGCAAUCAAUAGUCGGUCGGAUCUCGUCCUCCAACGACCAAGAGUUCCGAGACGAAUGCGUGGUGCCCCUCGCGAAACAUAGGGACAUGGCAGAGAGUAGCAAGUCCACAAGUUGAUCUAAGAUGUUCUGCUGAUCGCUUUUGUUCAUAACAUGGUAGACACAUUUUGUUCAUAUGGAAGUUGAUGCCGGCUUGGUGAUUGAAGGAUUGGUCUCUUUCAUAAUACUCUGUACCGAAAUACUUGUAGUUGGGGGAACUUGAACUAGUUCCCCCCAACUACAAGUAUUUCGGUACAGAGGGAGUAUUUUGUAGUAAUCAAGUGAUCGAACAAUUGGUCUCUUAGGAGCUUAGCCUUUAUAUUUUGCAGCAAGACAUGUCUUGUAUGUCGACUUAUGUAUUACCUUCAUGGUUGUAGCAAACUUGAGUGAUGAUAACAAAUGUUCAAUAUAUGUUGAAUAAAUGUACUAGUGAAUGGUAUCUUGUGAUGAAUAGAA